rnacentral:lncRNA from 1 species
CUCUCUCCCUAUUUUCUAGAUUACAACUAGAACUAACUAGAACUAGAACUAGAGGAACUAGAACUAGAACUAGAUAAACUAGAACUAGAUCUAGAUGAACUAGAGGUAGAACUAGAAGAACUAGAGGGAUCCUCUCUACUUGGAUGAAGAAUUGAAACCCUAACUUUGAUUCUGUAGAAGAGGUAUGAUCUCCAGGGGCCAGGGGGUCUGGUUUUAUAGUCCCUUCAAGUGAAUCUGGGCCGUCGGAUCAAACCGACAUUGAUCGUGUGGUUUUCCUUGAAGUAUUAGGUCGGUGGAGCAUGAUCCCCGAACUUCACCCUGAUUGGUCCAGGGGGGAGGGCGGGCGCCCAGUGCCCGGCUCCGUUACGUCUCCCGUUCGCUCCCGUGGCUUCUGGAGUCUUCUAGAUGCUAGAAAAUUGCGCGGCACGUUAAUAUCUCUAUGUAAACCCGACGUGUGGGCCUUUCUUCCAUAUUUCCUGAUAACCCCCUGCAGAAAUAGACAAACACCCAAAACUCGUGGAAUUCUGUCAGAUAAAACCCUAAGUCUAGGUGUUGGUUGCAUUUGGAUCCUUUUCCAUGAUUAGUUGAUGGUUAAAUAUGAGCAUUAAGGACCGUCAACAAGCUCCCCCAAGCUUAACCUUUGCUCGUCCCUGAGCAAAGCUAAAAUCAUCAAGAAAAAUAGGGGUUACUUUUAUGCCUCUUACUACAGGGUUUUUAAGUUAUCACUAAGGUCUUAGGUGAUUGAAAAACAGAACGAUCAAGUCAAGCACUAUGUCUCAAGUUCCUCUGUCUUACCUUUGUUCUGGAGUUUUUUAUAAGUCUGCAAAAUAAAACUGAGGCAUUUGCCUUCUUCUCGAAAGAUAUAUAAGUAGAGCUUUAAAAGUUUAGCAUACUUACUUUGCAUUUUGCUAUGUCAACGCUCGGAGUAAGGGAGAGGAAUGUCAUACUCCUAGAUCAAGACCUUUGACCUUUUUGAAAAGUUUGUCAUCUCUUACUGGCAUAUUGCUUAUUAGAGGGACCAUGGGCUAUCAUUUUUUUUCUUUUUUUUUCUCUUUUUUUUAAUCUUCUUUUUUUUAAGUGGGCAGCAAGUACCCCUAAUUCUACUGUCGGACACAUGUCCAUUUUUUCCACUCAGGUGGGUAUCUUUGUACCCCUAAUUCUACUUCGGACACUUGUUCAUUUUUACCUCUCGUCUCACUCUCUCUUUUUUUUUUUGAAUCAAAUUUUUGCAUAGUCCCAUGCCUCUAACGCAAUAAUACUUCGGAAGAGUAAAUCUUUUAUAUUUUUAAAACAAAAAGAUCUUGAUCUUGGGAGCAUGAUAAUUCUCUCAACCAAAACUACAAGAAUUAACAAUGGCUUGAACAAAGCAAGUGCCCACAGUUUUAAUAUUCAUAUCUUAUAAGACUCUAGGUAUUAUGAUCUCAUAUUUAUUUAUUUAUUUUUAUGAAUUUUUAGAUUUUCAAAAGAUAAAAUCUCCAGAACUCUAGCAAAACUUGGAACAAGUUAAAUAGUAGCUCAGACCUUCUCAUAACAUGUUUGUCAAUUACCUAGACUUGAAUCAAACUUUCUUUUUAUUUUAUUUAAAACUUAGGAUUACACAAAACUAUUGUAUAUUACUCAAAAGAAAAACUUUGUUUGGUUUCAUGGUUAUGCAUUUUUAUUUAUUUAUUUAUUUAUUUCAGAAUACUAGUAAAUAAAACCAAGAAAGGAAAGUAAUACUUAUCUAGAUACACGUAGGGGUGCCUCCCCCAAGCUGGAUGUUGACAUAGUCGUUCACUCUUGUGGCCUGCAUGUUCGGUCUCACUCUUCUUAAGCCUCAAAAUCCUGCACAACCCAAAUAGACAACAAAACUUGUGGAACAUGUUAAGGGUUAAGUAAUUGUCUAGAGCUUAUGAGAGCUUAAUGUGAGAAUUCUAUGAACUCAAUCACAUCAAGUUCCUCUACCAGGUUGUUUUGUGGCUCGAGAUAGAUUUUCAAGCGUUGACCAUUUACCUUAAAAGUGUUACCUAUGUCGUCUUGGAUGGUAAUGGCUCCAUGAGUUGAAGUAUCAAUGACCUUGUAUGGUCCAUCCCACUUACUUCGUAGCUUACCAUGCCCAAAGAGCUUAACUCUUGAAUUGAAUAGUAGAACCUUAUCUCCAGACUUAAACUCCUUGUGCUUGAUUCUCUUAUCAUGCCAUCGUUUUGUUCUCUCUUUAUAGAUCCUUGAAUUGUGGUAGGCUUUCUCUCUCCAUUCUUCUAGCUCAGAUAGUUGCAUCAGACGAUUCUCACUAGCGAGGUGGAGAUCCAUGUUCCAUUUCUUGAGUGCCCAAUAAGCCUUAAACUCUACUUCCACAGGCAAAUGACAAGUUUUUCCAUAUACAAGUUGAUAAGGUGACAUGCCUAUGGGUGUUUUGAAUGCAGUUCUAUAUGCCCAAAGUGCAUCAGGAAGUUUGUCCUUCCACCCCUUACCCAUCUCAUCUACGGUCUUUUGUAAAAUAUUUUUGAUUUGUUUGUUAGAUGUUUCGGCUUGACCGCUAAUCUGAGGAUGGUAUGGUGUUGCGACGUUAUGUCGAACUCCAUGAUCGGCUAGGUACUUCCGAAAGAUUUUGUCGAUGAAGUGGGAACCUCCAUCGCUUAUAACUAUCCGGGGUAUACCAAAGCGAGGAAAGAUUACUUCAUGGAACAUUCUCUUGGCAUGUUUUGAAUCAGCUGAUCGACAAGGUAAGGCUUCUACCCAUUUGGACACGUAAUCCACAGCUACUAAGAUAUACUCGCAAUUCCCGGACAUAGGGAAUGGCCCCAUGAAAUCAAUGCCCCAUACAUCGAAUAGUUCUACUUGAAGAUUAUUUGUGAGAGGCAUUUCAUUUCGUGAGUUAAUAUUCCCAUGUUUUUGACACCGGUGGCAUCUCCUGACAAAGUCCUUUGUAUCUUCAUACAUCGUUGGCCAGAAAAAACCACUUUGCCAAAUUUUAGCAUGUGUCCGGAAUGCUCCAUAGUGUCCUCCAUAUGGCGAGGCAUGGCAUCUUUCCAUAAUUUGAGUAGCCUCAGCCAUAGGAACACACCUUCUCAAGAGUCCAUCAGCGCAGACUCGGAAAAGAUAUGGCUCAUCCCAAAGGUGGAAACGACUAUCGUGAAGCAACUUCCUUUUGUUUGCACCAGGUGGCACAUAGCCUUUUACUAUAAAGUUUACGAUGUCUGCGUACCAUGGAUCUGCAUGUGUUAUCUUAAGUAGGGUGUCAUCCCUUAGGUAGUCAUUUAUGGGAAGUUCAUCAUGUGUUUCCUUAUAUUGAAGCCUAGACAAGUGGUCGGCUACGGAAUUCUCAACUCCCUUCCUAUCUCGGAUUUCUAUGUCAAAGUCUUGGAGUAGAAGAAUCCAUCGAAUGAGACGAGGCUUAGCAUCUUUCUUAGUGAGGAGGUACUUGAGAGCAGCAUGGUCUGAAUAGAUGAUUAUCUUUGCCCCCACUAAGUAAGAUCUAAACUUGUCUAUAGCAUAGACAACAGCCAAAAGCUCUUUUUCAGUUGUAGUGUAAUUGAGCUGUGGUCCAGACAAGGUUUUGCUAGCGUAGGAUAUGGCAUAAUGCUUUUUAUCCUUGGUUUGUCCUAAAACGGCCCCGACCGCAAAAUCGCUGGCAUCACACAUGAUCUCAAAAGGAAGAUUCCAAUCAGGUGGUUGGAUAAUCGGGGCUGAGAUGAGUGCUUUCUUAAGAGUUUGAAAAGAUUCAUGACACUCAUCACUAAAGAUGAAAGGUGCAUCCUUAGCUAGGAGAUUAGUUAGGGGUCUAGCAAUUUGAGAGAAGUUCUUGAUAAAGCAUCUAUAGAACCCUGCAUGUCCCAAAAAGCUACGGAUUCCUUUCACAUUCGUGGGAGGUGGAAGUUUUUCAAUAACUUCAAUCUUUGCUUUGUCCACCUCUAUACCACGUUCGGACACUUUAUGUCCUAGCACUAUUCCUUCCUGAACCAUAAAAUGGCAUUUCUCCCGGUUCAGGAUUAAGUGCUUUUCUUCACAUCGCUCCAAGACUCUAUCUAAAUUCUCCAAACAAUGAUCGAAGGUUUUGCCAUAGACGGUAAAAUCAUCCAUGAAAACCUCCAUGAUCUUCUCAAUCAUGUCCGAGAAAAUAGACAUCAUGCACCGUUGGAAAGAAGCUGGAGCAUUGCACAAUCCGAACGACAUUCGUCGGUAUGCAUAAGUUCCAUAUGGGCAUGUAAAGGUAGUCUUUUCUUGGUCAUCUGGGUGGAUUGGGAUUUGGUGAUAUCCAGAAUAACCAUCAAGGAAACAAAAGAAAGAGUGGUUUGCAAGCCGUUCCAACAUUUCAUCAAUGAAGGGUAACGGAAAGUGAUCUUGCUUUGUAGCCUUGUUGAGUUUUCGAUAGUCAAUACACAUACGCCACCCAGUGACAAUUCGUUGAGGGAUGAGUUCAUUUUUCUCAUUCAUAACAACCGUCAUUCCUCCUUUCUUUGGCACUACUUGGACAGGGCUAACCCACUCACUAUGUGGCACAGGAUAAAUAAUCCCAGCACGAUAGAGUCUGAGGACCUCUUUCUUAACAACCUCUCGCAUAGCAUUGUUAAGUCUCCGUUGUGGUUCCCUUGAAGGUGUAGAAUUGGGAUCAAUAGGGAUACGAUGAGUGCAGAGAAUGGGACUAAUGCCCGUGAGAUCCUCGAGAGAGUAGCCAAAUGCUGAUCUAUGUCUUUCAAGAACAGUGACAAGUUGUUGUGUUUCAUAAUCGGAAAGCUUGUCACUGAUAAUUACUGGAGUUUUUGAGUUGUUGUGCAAAAAGACAUAUCUAAGGCCAGAAGGAAGAGGUUUUAAUUCUAUCGAAGGAGGUGAAGGUAGUUCAUUUUUGUCUAGCUCAACAGGUUCUACCAACUCUUCUUCUUCUUGAACAAAGUGUUCAUCAUUAAAGAAUGGUUGGGCCAUCUCCCCUUGAGUCAACAUUAAGAUCUCCUCAAUAGGAUCUGGUACAAGUUUGGGUUCCACUAUCGUGUUAAUUGAUCUAGCAAGAGGAACAACAAUAGUGGAAUUCCCAACCUUGAAGUCUAAAUGACCUCGUUGUGGUUGUUCGUGUAGAAGUUUCAUGAUUGGUCUGCCAAUCAAGAGAAGAAUCUCGGGUACGUCAAAAAUGUGAAAAUCUAGGCAUAUUCCAGAGUCCUUGAUUCUAACAGGAACUGCCCUUAAUACCCCAUGGCUUUCUAGAAUUAAUCUAGAUGGACUUUGUAAAAGUUUUUGGGAUGGGGUUAUGGACUCGUUGGGAUAAAGAGUGUCAGCUAACUCCUUAGAAAUAACAUUUAUCCCAACGUAUGGAUUGUAGUGGACCUUCCUAGGGGACCCUCUAAUUUGGCACAGAAGAAUGGUUGAAGGAGUGAUGAUUCGAGCUACCUCAGGAGACAGCUCAGCUUCUGUUAGCCAUUCAUAACUCAGAAUAGCCGAAAGGCUUUUGAUGUGUUCUAUGUCAACAGAUUCUACUCUUAGAACAGAUUGAGUGGUCCUUACUAGAGGUCGUGUUUGGAUAGGAAAAUUUGAGGUGUUUCCAUAAUCUUCAAAAAGAUCUUCCUCGAAUUCAAAUGGAUGCUCUAAAGGUGGUGGUUCAUCAUCCCUUAGUUGGUUUUGCAUUCCUUUAUCAGGAGGUUUCUCUACAACCAAAUUAAUGGAUGGGUCAGGUGGAAUUUCUAACUCGGUUGCAAGUUCCUCAUCUUUUGGUUUAGGAUUAGGCUUGACUUCUUUUUCUUCUUCAGGAAACUCAUCAUAAAUGCCUGUGUAAGGGGUAUUUUCAAGAAUUCUUUCUAGGAUAGCUCUCCCCUCAUCUGUGAGUUUGUGUGUGAAUGAGCCUCCUGAAGCAAUGUCGAGGUGAAGAGCAGCUUCCUUGUUUAGACCACGAUAGAAGUGGUAGUAUAGUACAUAGUCAGGCAGGGAAAGGUUUGGACCGGAAUUGGUAAGGCUUGUGAACCUAGCCCAAGCUGCUCCUAAAGUUUCCUUCUCUCUUUGUUUGAAUGUAAGAAUUUCAAUUCUAAGGUAAGCAAUUCGAAAAAGUGGGAAGAAAGCGAGACAAAAGUUGUCUCGAAGUUCAUCCCAACUUCCAUUAACGCCUCCUACAGAAUGAGCAUACCAUUUUUUUGCUCUUCCCAAAAGGGAGAACGGAAAUAACUUCCAUUUAAGGGUUUCUUGUGUCAUGCCGGAAAUAGAUCGGCAAGAACACAACUGCUCGAAUUCUCUAAGGUGGGUGUAUGGAUCUUCAUCUACUUGCCCAGAGAAGGAUUGCUCCUGAAUCAUGGCUAUUAGAUCAGGGCCGAGGUCGUAGCCAUCUGUAAGAAUUGGAUGUGAUGAUGGUGGUGGCUCUAAUAACUCGCCCUUUGGAGCAAAGAAUUUAUAGAUAGGAGUGAAAUCCAUGUGGUGUGGUGAAAAUGGUAAGGUGAGUGUGGUAAAAAGGAAAGGAAAAAGGAUACACGGACGACUUGGUUUGAAACUAGCACAGCUACCGUUCCCCGGCAACGGCGCCAGAAAGCUUGUUGGGUAUUUUAAACGCAAACAGAAAAAUCCGCAAGCGCACGGAUACCGAUGUAGCUUUCACCCGGGAGUAUUCCAGAGUAUCGAUUUUCCACAGGGAACGUGAGUGUACUAAUUAAGAUUCAAGAUCGCCCAAGGAUAACUAUAUAAUUAUUUUUGGUGGGAAGAGAGGAAGUUUCCUGAGAGUUCUCUAGUUGAUCCAAGAAUCAAGAAUUACUUCAAGAUUAUCUAUAUCGGGACAUCAGAGCACUAACCACAGAAAGAGAUGAGAAGGGGGCUAGGAAGGUCUGACUACGGUCCUACAAACACCGAUCCGAACGAGGUGGAAUACGUCGACCGUUAGGGCUGUCACUACCCUAAGGCUACCACAACAAUCCGCAGGAUUGGGUGCAAUUCCAGGUAAUUGCAAGACUAAACACCACGUCUAAUCUAUUAAUUACUACUCUAAUGUUGCAAAGAUUAGAGCACUUGAUGCAAGCGGGAAUCCAAUAAAUAACUUGAAUGUAAAUAAAAGUAGUUAAGGAACUCAGGAUUAUGAAUUGAAGAACCUGGAGAACGAUGAAGAACAAACCAGUUGCUGCAAAAGUACAAUGUUGAGGAAGAUCCGACAGAUCCGGCUCCUCCUCCGCUCUCCUCUUCUCUCUCCCUAUUUUCUAGAUUACAACUAGAACUAACUAGAACUAGAACUAGAGGAACUAGAACUAGAACUAGAUGAACUAGAACUAGAUCUAGAUGAACUAGACGUAGAACUAGAAGAACUAGAGGGAUCCUCUCUACUUGGAUGAAGAAUUGAAACCCUAACUUUGAUUCUGUAGAAGAGGUAUGAUCUCCAGGGGCCAGGGGGUCUGGUUUUAUAGUCCCUUCAAGUGAAUCUGGGCCGUCGGAUCAAUCCGACAUUGAUCGUGUGGUUUUCCUUGAAGUAUUAGGUCGGUGGAGCAUGAUCCCCGAACUUCACCCUGAUUGGUCCAGGGGGAGGGCGGGCGCCCAGUAAGGGAGGGCGGGCGCCCAGUGCCCGGUUCCGUUACGUCUCCCGUUCGCUCCCGUGGCUUCUGGAGUCUUCUAGAUGCUAGAAAAUUGUGCGGCACGUUAAUAUCUCUAUGUAAACCCGACGUGUGGGCCUUUCUUCCAUAUUUUCUGAUAACCCCCUGCAGAAAUAGACAAACACCCAAAACUCGUGGAAUUCUGUCAGAUAAAACCCUAAGUCUAGGUGUUGGUUGCAUUUGGAUCCUUUUCCAUGAUUAGUUGAUGGUUAAAUGUGAGCAUUA